rnacentral:rRNA from 1 species
GAAUAUUGGACAAUGGGCGAAAGCCUGACGCAGCAACGCCGCGUGGGGGAUGAAGGCCUUCGGGUUGUAAACCCCUUUCAGGAGGGAAGAAAUUGACGGUACCUCCAAAAGAAGCACCGGCCCACUACGUGCCAGCCGCCGCGGUACUACGUAGGGUGCAAGCGUUAUCCGGAUUCAUUGGGCGUAAAGAGCUCGUAGGCGGUUCAGCAAGUCGGCUGUGAAAGUCUGAGGCUCAACCUCAGAAUUGCAGUCGAUACUGCUGUGACUCGAGUCCGGUAGAGGAGAAUGGAAUUCCCGGUGUAGCGGUGAAAUGCGCAGAUAUCGGGAGGAACACCAGUAGCGAAGGCGGUUCUCUGGGCCGGCACUGACGCUGAGGAGCGAAAGCGUGGGGAGCAAACAGG